GCAUUAAUGGGGUAGUGGUAACCUGGGUCGUUGCCACAGUGCAACCUCGACCCGCCGGGGGUUCGAUUCCCCCUUAAUGCA
rnacentral:tRNA from 1 species